CGAUUGGAUGGCGCCCCUGACGGUCUCGGCAGGAUUGAUAGUUGCCAUACAAUUGCAUUAAAAAAUUUCCCCUGCUGAAAUUUCAAGCCCUUCCAAACAGGCAUGCCUCAAAGGAAAACUGGGAUGGAGAACAGUCUGCAAGACAUCCUGAGCUCCAAAGAGUUUCAGUCUAAUCUAGUUCAGAUUUAAUUUAGUUCUAAUUGCCCUGAAUACUAAACUUAUCUUAGAAGGCUAGAAAGUACUUUAUUUUUCAUGUCACUUUUAGCUUUCCAACACUGCAUUUCUCUACUUCUUUUUAAUCAAAUAAAUCUCACAUAUGCUAUGCAUAGUAUAUGUAUCUGUAUUCUUUGCUCUUUUGUUGAAUUUGCUUGGAGUCUGUCAUAUUCUAUUUUAUGCCAAGGAUAGGGCACAGUAUUUGUCAUUGCACUCACGCUGAAAAGGUGAUAUCGAAAUGUGUGCAAAAUAAUGCUGGAUCAUGCCUGCUAUUUGGGAAGAAAUGUACAGUAUCUCUUCUGCCCAUGCUGAUGUGCUGUUUCUGCCCCUUAUCGUUUUUAACAACUUCUCAGGUUUUGCCUGAAAACAUUUAUGAGUUUUUCUUGAGAAAAACAUUUCAAAUAUCUCUUUGUUGUGCCUUACACAUGAAUCUGUUGAAACAGAAUCAUAGGGUGCCGAUGUUUUAGUUUGUAUAGCAGUUGCUUCCUACUGGUGUGGCAGAAAAAAAUCAGCUUAAU